GAUCCACUCCACUGUAGUUUCCUACGUGAGCCCAGGAUGCGGGUGCGCCUUCUGAAUUGGUCACACAGCCCCAGCCAGGCUCUUAAUGGAAUGAUGACACUAACGUUGCAACAAUAGAAAGGCCUCCAGGGAUGCUGGCUGUAGAGCAGAGGUGCAGGAUGUUAUGAAGAGAGGU